CAAACGGGUGCGGAACACGUACGCAACCUUCCUUUAAGCGGGGAAUAGCCCAGGGAAACUUGGAUUAAUACCCCAUAAGAUUAUGGUGUGGCAUCACACAGUAAUUAAAGCUCCGGCACUUAAAGAUGGGCGUGCGGCUGAUUAGGUAGUUGGCGGAGUAAUAGCCCACCAAGCCAACGAUCAGUAACUGGUGUGAGAGCACGACCAGUCACACGGGCACUGAGACACGGGCCCG
rnacentral:rRNA from 1 species